AUUUUAUUAUUUAUUUAGAGAGCGAGCAAGGAUGAGUUGGGGAGGGGCAGAGGGAGAGGGGGAAAGAAUCUGAAACAGACUCUAUGCUGAGCGUGGAGCCCGAUGCAGGGCUUGAUCUCACAACCUCCAGAUCGUGACCUGAGCUAAAACCAAGAGCCAAACGCCUAACAGAAUGAGCCACCCAGGCACCCCCAGACCUUUUUAUUUGGAAAUAGUUUUAGAUCUACAGAAGAGUUGCAAAGACAGUAGACCCAUUUACCCUUCACCCAGCUCCCUGAUGUUAAUAUCUUGCAAAGACCACAUUUAUCAAAAGUAAGAAAUUAAUGUUGACUUUUUAAAAAAAUUUUUAUUUUAUUUAUGAUAGUCACAGAGAGAGAGAGAGAGCAGAGACAUAGGCAGAGGGAGAAGCAGGCUCCAUGCAGGGAGCCCGACGUGGGAUUCGAUCCUGGGUCUCCAGGAUCGCGCCCUGGGCCAAAGGCAGGCGCCAAACCGCUGCGCCACCCAGGGAUCCCAAUGUUGACUUUAAUAGGAUUUCUCCUCUUUUCCUGCCCAUGUUGGUUUUCUGCUCUGGGACCCCAUGCAGGACACGGCACUGCACUUGUGUCCUGUGUGGUGCUGGGAAGCCCGAGUGCCGGGCCGCUGGAUAGCGCAGAAACCCGGAUCUGCCCCGGGGACUCAGAUAUCCUCCUCAGGAGACUCGUAGGCACAGGGUGGAAGAAGCUGCUUCAUUUCUCUGGCUGCUGACAGUUCAAUACGAGAGGGAAGGUUGGGCUAAAAAGGAAAGUUUUCAAAUUUUAAGUGAAUUGAACGGAAAUGUAAAAGAGCCACAACUUGCUGGGUUUGAAAAUAAAACUGUUUCUCAUUCCCAGCCUCUCCAGAUGGCAAAAAUAAAAUAAAAUAAAAUAAAAUAAAAAUCUCAAAUUAAAAAACAGCCUCCAGGCAAAGAUCGAAUCCAGGAUAGGAAUACAAGAUCCUCCGUAAAUACCUCAGAGACCCCUAACACGGCGCCUCCUCUUGCCAGUUACGAAUUGACUGCCUUUCAGUUCCAAAUUCAUCCAUCAUUGCCUGAUCCAGAAGAUGGAUCAGGGCCCUUUAAAUAUUUUUUUCUUUGCUCCUUGGCAGGAUGUUAAGCGCUGACAACAGCCAUUGCAAGAAAAGGCACCUUCUCCUUCUCCACCCUGGCUGGAGCUAGACAGGAGUGAGCUGGAUUCCGGCAGAAGGAGGCUGCUCCAGCUCCUGGACCCAGCUCCAUCUCAACUCCCUCUGCUCGAGCUCGGUGGAAAUUUGCAGCAACUUUCCUCCUAGCACCCCAGUAAGGUGGAACUGUGUGUCUUCGGUUAGGUUAGAUAGCAUGCCAUCCCUGAACCAGUCACCGCAAGGGUGUUUGUGGGGACGGGUGGGUCUGGGACUGAGACUAGCCAGGAUUUCCUUGCCCUGGAGCAGGGGUGGAAAGAGGGUGGACUGAUGGAGCUAAUCUAAUGGAAGCACACGGACUGAUGGUAGGGGUGGGUGUGGGGAGGUAGGGUAGUUCCUCGAAGGCACAGUGAGGGUUUUGUUUUAUCCCAAGAGGGGCGAUCCCACCAUAGUGUCUGGAUUCUGUACUCAUGUGCUCUCACGGGGGCAGGUGCCACUCACACUCAUGGCUUGUGGUAGGAUGGCAUCGCCGGUGUGAGCCUGGCGGCCUUGGGGGACUGAGUCCUCAUCAGGCCAAGGCUCGUGAGGACCCACAGCAAGGUGUGGGUCAAAGUAUUCUGUGGCCUAGCUGGCAAUGCCAGUGAACCGUCUUCACUCCGGACAAGCGAAAACUAGAUAAACUGUAUUCCACUUGCUUUGGGUCAUCAGUAUUUAUAUUCUGAGAAAGGAGGCAGUGGCAAGGCUGCUCUUGAUCCCCGGUGCUGUCAGCCCUUCCCCGCUCCCCUAGACUGAACAAGGCGCCCUGGAGCCUGUGUGGACGGUCCAGCCGAUGAUCCCUUGACGAGAUCCAAGGACAAGUCCCAUGGUGUCGCCCACUCACCCACGUAAAGGCCAUCCAGGCCUCCGUGUGUCAGAUCCAUGGCCAGGACCCGGCCAUCGGUGAACUCGUUUUUCUCUUGCUAGCACAGUCUCACAGCCUUCUGUUGGCAGCGGCCUCUAAGUUUUGGAAAAGUUUAGAACUACCUGCCUGCCUCCUAAUUAGAUUCUUACUCUUUCAUGCUCCUAAGUUUUCUUGAACUUUGCUGGUUUGCAAACUAAUGGAAAGAAACAGGAAGGACAGCAAAUUAAGUAUGGCCUUUUGGCGAUCAUUAAUUUGACCAACUACCCUUUGGAAAUGAAAGGCCAGCGCCUAUUAGCUUUAGGGGCAGUGAGUGCAAAGUCAAAUAUCAAAAGGCCACGGCAAAAAAGGGACCCGGUUCUAAUCAAGGGAGGGAGAUGCCGCAUGAUCGCAGAAAUGCAGAUAGGAUUGGGAAGUGGGGUGGUGGCCUGUGAUUCUGACAUUCUCUUCAGAACACCUGCACUCUCGAAAUGGUGUCUUAAAUCUCUUGUGCUUCAGAGAUGGUCUCUCUGCACAGCUGAGGCUGCUCUGCAGAGUCUGCAGGGGGCAGGCCAUCCCAUGGCACAGCUGUCAAACUUCUGGAUUCUUCUUUGAGUCUUUUCUUUAGAAAAGGAGAGACGGGAGGGGGUCACAAAGGCAUGACAGGAGAGGGAACAGCCCCCUGCAGAUGACUACCUCCCCAUAGCAUUCGUGUUUAUGCCUGCAAAGGACUCGCUAAUAAGGCCGUCUGGCCCUCUCCUGUAACUGUAUCCCUGGCAUCCAGUAGGUGCACAAUAAACAUCUGGCGUGGUCAUUCGUAGGACUUCUCCUAUGCACAGCCAAAUUCACUGGCGCAAUUCCCAGACGAAGAAUCCAGGCUCAGGGCGAUCAAGUGACUGGCCCCACGGUCACCUGUUUCAGAGCAGAGCAGAAUCCUCUUGUCAGAGUCUGGCAGAGACUGCCGCGUGCCCAUGCUGGGCAAGGGGACAGAGCAGUGCCCGAGAUAGACCUAGGCCGGGCCCUGCCAACACACUCGUGUGGGGGUGCGGAUGACAAGAUAUGCCGCUCACGUCCAGUGCCAGGGGUGCUCUGAGAACUGAGGGAGGGGGCAGGAGGGGAUGGGCACAUGCACACCUCCACAGCGAAGGGUCAGGGAAUGCCUGCCCAAGAGGGUGACUCUUCCUGGAGGAGUGAGACAGCCAGGCUGAGGUGACAUUUUAUGUGGGCUUCUUCUAGUCCAAGUGAAAGAUGAUUUGCACUCAAGCUAAUAAAUACAGUAGCAGUAGAAAUAGUAACCUCUGCCAUUUAUCUGAUUUUUAAAAUUUGUGGCCUGUUUCCAGUAUAUUUAGAUGAUGUUGGGGGUAAAUAAAACUACCAGCUAUUAAAAAAAAAAAUCCUAAAUUUCAGUGUUUUAACAAUGAAAGGUUUGGAAGUUUGCUUCUCUCCCACAGAAGCCCCUGCAGACGCUCCUGGCUGGGAGGUGCACCCGGGCAGCCCUUCUCCAGGCUGGGCCUCGGGGAUUCAGGAUCUUUCCAUCGUGUCCUGCUGCUGUGUGCUGUUUCCAGUAUCACUUCAGAAAAGGAAGAGGGAGCACAUGCGGGCCUUUUUCUGGCUCUGAAAGUGACCCACAACUGCUGCUCACAUUCCACAGCCCCAUGGAGAUGGCAAGGGACCCAGGAAAUGCAGUUAUGUUGGGUGCUUUGUGGAUGGGCACCUGUUUAGUAACUGGGAAGAGAGAGAGCCUGUGUGCAAGCUCCAUGUGGCUUUCUAGAGGAAGAAUGGGUUGAGAAGAACAAGCCAGAGGCUGCGGGGUGGGAACACGCUGGUGCUCUCGGAAGGGAAAGGAUUCUGCCCUGGAGGCUUGUUCCUCUCGGGCCCAAGGCCCUGCCCCUUCCAUGUUUUAGGAUGGGGCCCUCACAAAGGAAGGUGGCAACAAGCCUGAGGCCCGGGUGAUGGGUAAGGACGCCCAUCUUGGGCGUGGGCACCCUUCCCUGGAGUCCUUGAGCAGGCCGAGUGCUGCCUGGAGGGCCAGGCGCUGAGGGCACGGGGGUCGGAGGCCGUCUGCCCGUGCAAACGGCUCCCACAUCCAACACACUUCCGUGUCCCCCUUUCCCCUUCCCGAGGCACAGCCAUCAGUGUGGGGUUUCUGGGUGGCUUGACAUCCACAAGGCCGGGAGCUCUGUGUGGGGAGGGAUCUCCUCCAGGAGGCCCCCCGCCCCCGUAUUCCUCCAGAGACCCCACACCCACUUGCUUAUGUGUCAGGACUUGGCAUGCAGCCACUCACCCGACCUCUGGCAGAUACCUGCCUUCCAGGACAGGGACGGAAGAGCUCCCCGGGCCUCCAACCAUGCCUAGCAGAGGUGCCUCACCAGAGCUACCUGGGCCCCUGGCUGAGCUACAGAAACACGGCUACCACUGCCAAUGCUGUCUUGUAUAAUCUGUGCUCUAGCAGGACCUAUUUCAUCAUGACAUGGUGGGUCAGGUGCUAUCCCACGAAGUUUUGGAGGAGGGGAAAACACGCAGACGGAGGGGAGUCUGGCUCUGGUCCUUGCACUGUCGCUCACCUGCUGGGUGAGUGAGGGCAGGUCUCCAGGCCUUGGACACUCUGACCGUCCAACCAGUGCACAGGCUGAAACAGAAGGCAACUAAGGUUCCUGACGAGAGAUGGAGGGCGGGGGGCGGGGGAGGGAGAGAGAGAGAGAGAGAGAGAAAGAGAGAGAGAGAGAGAAGAAGAAGGAGGAGGAGGAGGAGGAGGAGGAGGAGGCGGCGGUGGGGACGGCAGUGGAGGCAACAUUCCUAACAGCAGAACACUGGUCGCCUAAAACCCAACAGGUUAGAUUCGACAUGGAAGGCAUGAUCCAUAAAGGAUAAAUCUGACAAACUGGACCUCAUGAAAAUGGAAUAUACUCUGUGAAAGACCCCAUUAAGAGCAUAAAAGGCAAGCUACAGCCCAGGAGACAAUACGAGCACAUCACAUGACUAAGGAUCUGCACCUAGAAUAUAUGAACAGCUCUCCACAUGCAGCAUUAAAAGAAUAUCUAAAUGGAAAAUGGGCAAAAGAGCCGCACAAACCUUUGACCUGAGAUCAGCUACACGUGGCAAAUAAAGCAGCACGUGGUGAGAUCAUUAACGGCAUUAACUGUCAGAGAAAUGCAGAUACGAGCCACCCUGAGAUAGCGCCUCACACCUUUCAAAUGGUUCAAGUAAGAAGUAGUGACAACACCAAAUGCUGGUAAAGAUGUGGAGAAACUGGAUCCUGCGCAGACUGCUGGCCGGAAGGAAAGGGAUACAGCCCCUCUGGAAAGUGGCUUGGCAGUUGCUUUAAAACUAAAAAGAGGACUUAAAACUAAAACUAAAACUUAAAACUUAAAACUUUUUAAAACUAAAAAGAGCAACUGUAGUCCUGGGCACCCACAGCAACGGAAGCCGAUGGUCUUGCACAAACACACACAUGGGUGCUCACCGCAGCUUCACUCCUCAGAGCUACGAGCUGGAAACUACCACAAGUCCUCCCGUGGAUAAACAGCUCAAGGGUGGUGAUACACGGCAUGGGACACUACCCAGCAACUAAGAGGAAUGGGUUGCUGAUACAUGUAAAGACUCGGGUGAACCUCAAGGAAAUUCUACCGAGGGAGAAAAGCCAAUCUCGAGAGGACACGCUGUGCGUGAUUCGGGGUGUGGGGUGCUGGUGAAAAAGACAGUCGUGGGGAUGGGGAGCAGAUGGCUGGCUGCCAGGGGAUGGGGAUGGGGGAGAGGAGAGAUAGGAUGAGGGGGCCUUGUGGGGAGCUGUCUUAGCUGUGGCAGUGGUCCCACAAAGCUGUGUAAGUGGUAGUAGUGCACAAGGCUAUGCACAGACACACAGAGCAUGUGCGGAGCUGGUAAAGCCUAGAUGAACCAGCUUCUUGGUUUGGCUGCUGUACUACGGUGGUAAAAUAUGAACACUGGAGGGCAGGGGGCGGCUGGCAAAGGGAACAUGGGACCUCCCUACACAAGUCUUUGCAACCUCCUGGGAACGCAGAAUUAUUGCAAUGUAAAGAUCUUAAGAAGCCCAGAGAGGGAUUCAUUGUCUACACCACAGUGGCCACACAGCAGAGGGAGAUCAUAACACAAAACAAAGCAAAGCCCCGAGGGCAAGGUCACUGUUGCCCACUCUGGUGGUGGGUGGGGGCAGGUUUGGGCCAGCUUGCAGAGGCUGCUGGCGGUCCGUCGGAACAGGCUCUGUUCUCUUCUGCUGGACCCGCAGCUGUCCACACUUAGGGAAUGCAUUUCCCAGGGGCCCUGGCAGCCAGGUCGGCCACGCGGCUCAGUUCUAAAAAGUCAAGUGGCCCUAACAUAUGCCAGUGCUCGGUUUGGGUCGUAGAACACCAGGCACAUGUUCCUGUGUGUCCUUCCCUUUUAGUGAACCUGAAAGGCGCCCGCGGCCCAGCUUCCACGACGCAGACCAUGUCCUAGGUCAGGUGGUGGCAGGGGAGCAGGAACAGUAUCCUUGAGACACUGCAUGGAGCCGAGCAGCCCUCUGAUCUGAACCAGCCCCUCCCGAGCUCUGCAGCGUAAGAGAAGUAAGUGUCUGCCUUCUUUACAUCACUGUGUUUUGGGGCAUCUGUGCUAUAGCAACUUAGCCUUUGCUAAAUGGAAAAAAAAAAAAAAAAAAAAAGCAGGUUUGAAAACAGUACAAAGUGUGCUCACAGUUUUGGCAAAAAAAAAAAAAAAAAAAAAGACACACACAAACAUGUCCAUAGGAGAGUCUGGGAAGAAAGGCGGCAAAGUGCUCUGGUAAUGAUCUUCUGCUAGUGGGAAUUAGGGAUAUUUUUUUUCCUUUGCUCAUCCACAUUAUCUAAUUUUCUAUAAAAGGAACGCAUGUACUCCUAUAGUAAUUAAGAAAGCCAGCUGAUGAGGGAGAUGAGAGCUGGGAAUCAGAGAAGUGGAGCAGCACAGUUAAGUAACAACCUGCCCCACAGCACAGAGGCUGACAAGGCUCGCUGGCGUCCCAGGCUGGCUCCCCAGCUCACGGCUGGCCCCUCUCACUGUCCCCCCUCCUCCCUCAUUCCUCCCUUCCCUCCCGAGAGACAAGUGACUGUUUGUCUCUGUGGGGCUUGGGCAAACACGGUGCCAACGAUGCCCGCUGCUGGCAGGACCGCCUGCUCAGCCAGCACCAAGCCAGAGCUCGUGUGGUCCCGGAGGACAGCCAAUCUCCAGUGCAAAUUUCAAACUCAAUCAGCACAGAGACAGGAUGGAGCUGUUCUUGAGUAACUUAUCAUCUUAAAGCUGCCGAGGUGGUGCUUUACCUGGAUAUGCUCGUGAACCUUGCGGUUUAUCUCCUCAAGCACUAGGGAGAUAAUGACAGGGAGCAGCCAACCUGCAAUUUAAAAUUCAACUUGAAAGUGAUUUUUUUGAGGUUCUUUCCCACUAACUGGAGGAGCUGGGGUGGGGAUGAGAGCGGGUGAAGGAUGGCGGAGAUGGGGGAAGGAAGCCCGCCUGUCCUAGAAAGUGAAGCCUAAUUAUUCCCCCAGCAGACACAGAUGGACUACAAGGACUUAUCCUGGAUGCACAUUAUCGCGCAGGCUUGAACAAGCUCCGAGCAGGUGCUGUGCAAUUGGCCUACCCUUUCCUGUCAAACGCAGGACAAUUAAAGUUCACCAAGAUCACCCUCCACAGAGAUCGUGCCAGCGGAGAUGCAGCAGCUGGGAGGCACCCUACUUUGUCCUCUCUCCCAGGGACUCGAUGGCCUGAUGAUGCCUCCCGUCAAGCUCUCCAGGUUCCAGAUCUUGUGAGAAUCCUUCUCUUCCCACCUAGGGUGACCCGACGAGGCUCUCGAUUUAGCAUCAGGCCCACACUCUGACAGCCUGGACGCAACGGCAAGUCUGCACAUUAACACCGAAAGUUCAUCGUUUUGUGCCGGCAGCUCUCGUCAGGGGUGUGAAGUAGAAAAAUAUCACUCGAUACCAAAAGGCCACUUCCCAAUUUAGUUCAGGAAAAAAAAUCUGGACAACCCUGAACAGACGUCCUCAUCACACUCUGCCUCUUCCUAACGACAGCCGCACUCACCAGCCGUGGCCUGGCCGGCAGGAAGUACAGGUAAGCAUGGUGCUGCUGAAGCACCUGCCACACAGAGCUUUCCAGGCUUGGGCCAAGAGCACUUCUCAGGUGACACACCUCAGCAGGGCGGGGACGGGGCCGCUGCCUCUGCAGAGGAGGCUUCGCCCACAGGGCCCGAUGACCUGGUCAGUCUGACAUGCAGCCCCCUGGCGUACCGCUGUGUGAGAUCCUGUCCUGAUUCCUUGUCUAGAUGCUGAGGGGAAGCGCCAUGUACCCCCUUGGGAUGCAGUGCCUGGCACAGAGCAGAUGCUGAGCUGGCCAGCUAAUGAUUAAGUCACAUACGAUGCCUCGAUCUGGCCUAGAGGUCACAUCAGACAGCCAAAUAGCAUUUGGGUGCUGUACCCAGUGGUGGCCACGUUCCCCUCUGUGAGAGGCACCAAAGGACAAUUCUGGGGCCCAAUGCCUUGCUCCCAGGGGCAGCAUGGCUCCGAGCUCCCCUCGUGAUUUGCCACGCUGGAACUGGUCCCUACCCACCUCCAGUCUCUACUUUCGCCGACUUUGGAUCAACAUGUUCUCUGGAUUUUACUGGUUGACACACAAAGCCAGUCUCCCUCAGGUCUAUCUCUUAAAUCACCAAGCAUUCACCCUUCCAGCCCUGCUCACCUUUCUAGACCUUGGUACAUUUCCUUUCAGCACUUAGGACUGAAGAGCAUGAAUGCCAGAGACGGAAAAGGCUCAAGGCUCGCUGGCCCAGCCCUUGUGUUUUUCCUUCCGCUUUUAUUUAGGGAAAAAAACUUUAAAAUGUAUAUAACAUAUUGAAAAAUAAUACAUAAAACAUAGGGAGCAGAAUGGUAUCUAUGCAUCACCCACAAUGUGGCUGCGAUGCCCAGCCACAGUGAAUGAUCCACUCAUGGCCAAUCUUUUUUCAUCUAUAAUCACUCCCAGCUUCCCCUUCUCAUGGUCACGACCAGCCUUCACCUUAUGACAGGAACAGAGUUUUACCAAGGAACAGUGACACUGUGGGCAGGGGGCCAGAAUUCAGGCCCUGGCUGUGCAUACCCCCCAACAUUCUGCUACAGCCACACUCCACCUGUGCUGGUAUUUAAUAUUUUUCUUUAAUGGUCCCACUUUUCUGCCUAAAUACAUUUGUUUAAAAUGGAAACUUUAUGCCUUCCUGUGAAUGGGAAAAAAGCACCAUUUGUCACGAAUGGAAGGGAUCACUAAACAUGCCAUGGAGAGAACAAUGUCACUAAGCAGAGACUCCUGCCUGCCCGAGGCUCUGAACUCAAGGCCGGCUCGCUCUCUCUCCUGAAUGCGGAGGUUGGCAACGGAUUAGACCCUUGGUGCCAACAGGGACUUUCUUGCAUCUGGGGCAAUCAGGAGGAUUCAAACAGUUAAAAAUCCAAACAGCCUUCUCACAAGGUGAUCUACUGUUACCAUAAUUUCAUCAUUCCCCCCACCUACCCAUUUCCACAUCUCUGAUGGGUGCUGUCAGCCAGCUGGUAUCAUGACGUACUUGCCAUUUCUACGUGCUCCAACCUGUUCAUACUGUCAUCACUGCACACGACAAUGCACACUGCAGUCCCCUGGGGGCCGGUCCAUGUGCCAUUUAAAUGUCUUAGAAAAGAUGGGCAGCAAUGACACGAGCUGUUGUUACAGAUCCUACGUCCUCAAUUCUGGAUGUUCUCAAAAAGCAACAAACAAGUGUCUUAUGAGACCAAAGGAGGGAAGAGACCUGUGAGUCAGUGAAGCAGUGUUCUGUUCUGUUACCAGGGAUCGUCUGUCCCCCACUAAACAAUGAAACUCCAGGCAGCAGAGAUUGCCAGCCCCCUUAGAAUAGAUGAAAGAUGUUUCAGAGCCAUGAAAGGCUGGUGUGACCGACUCAUGUGUCACACAGGAUUCUCAUUAAGGCCUGUGCCAUGGUUUAAUUGGCAGCAUGCUUUUCUUUCUUAAUGGUUCAGGAAAUAAUGGUGCUUCUCAUGAGCGAGAACAGCUUGAAUGUGACGACCACGGUAUUUAGUCUGGAAUCACUGGCUGUAUGGACAUGUUCAUUUUCGCUGCCUCUCAUCACACCUCCCCAGACUGGGCACUGAAAGUAGGCUCAUUUCCUGGAACAGGGGUUCUCAGACUUGAGCUCAUAGCAGAGUCCCCCACAGGCUUGUUAACAAUCAGACUAUUGGACCCCACCCCCAGAGCAUCUUCUUCGGUUGGUCUGGGGCAGGGCCUGAGGCUCUGUGUUUUUAACCAGCCCCCAUGGUGCUGGACCACACCUUGAAUGGCAUGGUCUUAUCCUUUCUUUUCCCUUUCACUAAAUCCUCUUUGUCCUCAGCUCCUUUAACCCUGGUGGGGGUAGGAGGGGAGGGCCUGAGUGGUACUAGAACCCAGGUGGGAACCACCCAUUCUUUUGGACAUCUCAAGAAGGCAGUGUCUCUCUGGCAGCUUCAUUGCAAAGAGAACAUCUGAAGCAUAGGCUGGCCUGGGAAAGCUCUAGGAAACUUCCCCUUCCUUCAAGACUUUCACCAGGUCAAUGCUUCUUCAUAUAAACAGGUUAUGGCUUUCAGUGUUGGGGUCAAAGCUCUGUAUGAACUCGGCAGACGGCGCUGGAAUCUGCUCAUAUUUAGAACAAAAUAUGGUACAAGCAAGCCAGGCACCCCUCUCAUGCCUGCUCACAUGUGUUCUAGCUGGUAACAUGGGCAGAGAUUCCUUUCCUUUUGGUAUGUACGUGUGUUACUGCUUUAGCAAAAAGAAACAUCUGUGCGCUUUUUUCCUCAAAAAGAACAAUCCAUUUUUCAAACUGCAAAAAAGUCUUUGAAAUGGAGUAUUUGCCAACACUGCCCUCUCUCCUAAAAGCAAGAUGCAAGGAAAUGUGUCCUCAGAACAAUGUUUUAAAUGCAGACAUUACUAAGUGGUUUUUUUUCUUCAAAAGGGCCAGAUCUGCUCACAUGUUCACCCAACUGAAUGUAGAAGGUGCUUUAAGAAACAGGAGACAAAGCCCUGUCCGGGGUAUAAAAGGUUUACUGCUUAUUAAAAAAAAAAAAAAAAAAAAAA
rnacentral:lncRNA from 1 species